rnacentral:lncRNA from 1 species
ACAGAAAAAAUGGAAUUUUAUUUUUACAAAAUUUACUUCUGGAUACUAUCUUAUGAUCAUAAACAAGCUUUUGUCCAAGCUUGGUAUAAAUCCAGGAGAGUUUAAGAAAGUUAUUAAAAUUUCAAACUUUAGCCAAAGAGUGAAUAUUUGUUGAUGCUGCCAAGGACGACGCCAAUGACGGAAUGUAGGACUGCUAUGUCUCACUUUUUCAACUAAAGUCAAAGGCUCGACAAAAAGGGGGAUCCAACACCAAAACUCCCACCCUCUGAAUCUGCCACUGCCCUCAAAGUAUGGUACAUGAUCCAAUUGGAACCUGCUUGGUUAAUAUAACUGAUUGUGUGCAAUUUUUAAAAGAAAUUU